CAGGCUCUGGUUCCACCACAGCACCACAGCCCACCAUGAGCACUGCAACAACGUUGCUUGGGCACGGGCAUGACUACUGCUUCAUGCCACCUCAAAGUGGAGAGCCAGGGAACAUUCUUUGUGAAGAACCUGCGCUCCAGGAUGAAGACAACCAGUAUGCUGCAAGCAAGUUGCCGUCCCCUGCUGCUGAGA
rnacentral:lncRNA from 1 species